GGUGGCUCCGGUGGGCUAUGGAGAUGAUUCAACUUCCAGAGGUUUCUUCGUAAAUUUUUGGAAUUUUUGAGACACAGAUAAACUUCGGGUGAUCGAUGUCAGCUAUUUUUCUGCAUCCAGCAGCCACAAUAGUCAUCGGUGUACUGCCACAGGAGGAGUUAUUUUACAGAGCAACCUGUUUUCUUCCUCGCAGGUUUAACGUCGAUUAUUUAAUUGUUUUACUAUCUUUUCUAAAUUUAAAAUCUAGAACUCCGCAUGUGUUAGUAAUAGUGUGGACCUUGUUAGAAAUUGUGUUAAUUUAAAUUUUUUUGAGAUUUAUAAAUGAAGAUUUGUAUGGUAUUUAAACAGUUUGUAAAUGAGGUAACAGGGUUGAGCUGGGCUCCCCUGAUUUUAGUUUUCUGAAAAUUUCUUGGCUAAGUUGGCCCGAAAUGAAAUUAUAACAGUUUAAUUUAAA